GCUCUCGUGGCGGAAUGGUAGACGCGGCAGAUUCAAGAUCUGUGUCUUUUUAUUGGUUCAAGUCCAAUCGAGAGCA
rnacentral:tRNA from 1 species